rnacentral:pre_miRNA from 1 species
CUGUUACUCCCUCCGUUCGAAAUUACUUGUCUCGGAAAUGGAUGUAUCUAGAACUAAAAUACAUCUAGAUACAUCCAUUUCUACGACAAGUAAUUCCGAACGGAGGGAGUACGUG